CAGUUUAGCUCUUCUUUCAUUUUUCCCUACUUUUUAUUUUUUCAGAUUGGAAUGUAGAAUUAAAGAAUCUAUUUAAUCUUCAUGAAAUUAUUUUUUGUGGAUUAAUCUGGGUUUUUACUAAAACUUUGAUGUACUGUGGGCUUCCGGUUGAUACUGAUGUUAAGGAAAUUAAGAUGAUAGAAGCUGUACUAGCAGUAACAUGUAGAACUGAGGGAAAUGGUGAUGAAGCUAGCUCUAUGGAGGUUACUGAUAUUUGUUCCACAUCUUCAGUUGAUGAAAGUUUGAUAUCGAAUAUAUUCUUUGGAACAAGCAUUGGAGAUAUGGUGUCAGCGGGGAGUAAUAUAAGUGUUGAUGGUGAGAUGGUGAGAAGUGAGCUAAAAUAUGUUUUAGCAGAAGAAACUGUUGAUGCUGGAAUGAAGGAAAUGCAUGCAGAGAAAGAUAAAUGUGUAUAAACCAUAAAAUCAUCUGCAAAAAACACUGUGCUAUGGAGCCAUCUUAAACGAAGUUAUUUUGAUCUUCCAAUUGGCAACUGGGCUAGGUUUCUCGAUUACGGAGAAAAUCAUCCAGCAGCAGCCAAAUAUAUGUUGCAAAGGCAAGGGAAAGCAUGCUUCCUAAGCAGGAAUAAUCAGCAUAUUGGAAACCAUUGCUCACAGCAGGGCCAAUAUUGUUUUGUCUGCAGAGGAACAUUCCGCCAAUCCCAUGAUUGUCCAAAGAAACAAGAAGAAAAUCAUAUUAUUUGUUUAAGAUGUGGGGAUUCGGGACAUGAUAUGUUCUCUUGUAUGAGUGAUUAUUCUUCUGAUGAUCUCAAGGUCUUUUUCAUUAUUUUUUAUGCUUUCACAAAUCACCCUUUUUUAUCUCUAUGAAUAUUUAUCCUAAUAAUUUGUUUUCUUUUUGAUGGGGAAGGGGGAUCUGAAUCUGGCUUCUUGAGAAGGCGGAGGACACAUACUCCUAUAUCUUUUGAGCCAAAUGAAAAUUCGAUGUUAUGCUUGCGAAGAUUUUGGUCAUCUUAGCUGUGUCAAACUUCCAGAUACAAGUCCAACGGAAGCUUCCUGCUAUAAUUGCAGCCAGUCCGGCCAUUUUAGAUCAGUAAGUCCAAUCUUUCCUAUCGCUUAUGGUUUGGUUUGUGCCUGUGUAAGAAACAUAUUUUUUGUAUCUUAUCGUGGAUAUUCCACUAGAACUGCUCGAAGUGUUCCAAAGUUGUUUGGGGCUCGAAAUCCCCUGCUUUAUGCUACAGGUGCAGAGAGGAAGGUCAUUUUGCACGAUCGUGCACUCUCCCUAGGAAGCAUGCUAGGAAAGUUCGUGCCGAAGUGAUAUCACCGGGCUCUAGUUCUGCUCCUCAUAAGCAUGAACCUCAAAGUGAUGCCAACAACUGCGAGGGCGAAACACAAGAAGGUCUAAUCAUCAAUAUCAUUCAAUAAAGAUGGGAGUCAUUAUUAACCUUUCUCUAGUCACCACCGUGGAGAAUUGAGGCAGAAUUCACAUGACUCCUGCAAGAUGUGGCUUUUGUCCAUGGUCAUCUGUUCCUGCAUCAAGGAAAUCCAGGUUUAAAAUGUAAGAAACCAUAGGGGAGCUUUUAUUUAACAUUCAACCCCACCAUGGAUUACAAUUUUACUUAUUUUUAUGUUAAAUUUAAAAGGGAUCAAAUUACUUCACUUUUAUAGCAGAAAGACUGAUUUGCUCUUAA